AGAUUGCCUACCACGGCUGACGACCUCCACCUGCCCGGGUUUGUUGUUCGGAGUUUGCUCUCCUAGGUGAAUUGCCUACCACGGCUAACGAGCCUCACCUGCCCGGGUUUGUUUAGAGUUUGCUCUCCUAGGUGAAUUGCCUACCACGGCUAACGACCUCCACCUGCCCGGGUUUGUUUAGAGUUUGCUCUCCUAGGUGAAUUGCCUACCACGGCUAACGACCUCCACCUGCCCGGGUUUAUUGUUCGGAGUUUGCUCUCCUAGGUGAAUUGCCUCCCACGGCUAACGACCUCCACCUGCCCGGGUUUAUUGUUCGGAGUUUGCUCUCCUAGGUGAAUUGCCUACCACGGCUAACGACCUCCACCUGCCCGGGUUUAUUGUUCGGAGUUUGCUCUCCUAGGUGAAUUGCCUACCACGGCUAACGACCUCCACCUGCCCGGGUUUAUUGUUCGGAGUUUGCUCUCCUAGGUGAAUUGCCUACCACGGCUAACGAGCCUCACCUGCCCGGGUUUGUAUAGAGUUUGCUCUCCUAGGCAGAUUGCCUACCACGGCUAACGACCUCCACCUGCCCGGGUUUGUAGCCGGAAGAUCUCCGGCACCUCCAUCGGGGCCCCGAGGGACGCCGAGGAGCCCUGCCUGGAGCCCUGCAUUCCUGCCAUGCUCGCCAGGGAGACCUUGGGCUCGCUGGCGCUCCACACCCCCGCCGAGGCGAGGAUGCAAGAACUCGCUUCUUAAAACUACCAGACUGGAUUAUAAAAUUAAUCAUAAUUACUGUGAAGGCGCCGGUCACCGCGUUUAUCGGUUCAGGGAUGGAAGACCGACGGGCCUGGGAAACGCGCACAAGCAUCCAAAGGAAUCCUCGCGACGGCUUGCGACGCAGCAUCCGUUUCCCUUUUCUUUCUCAUUCCAAUUUUUCUUUUUUAUUAUAUUUUCCUUCUCUGA